GAUGAAGAACGUAGCGAAAUGCGAUACGUAAUGUGAAUUGCAGAAUUCAGUGAAUCAUCGAAUCUUUGAACGCAUAUUGCGCUCUCUGGUAUUCCGGAGAGCAUGCUUGUUUGAGUAUCAGUAAACACCUCAACUUCCAUAUCUUUUUUGAAAUGGGAGUUGGACUUGAGUGAUCCCAACGCUUUUCCUCACCGAAAAGUGGCGGGUUACUUGAAAUGCAGGUGCAGCUGGACUUUUCUCUGAGCUAUAAGCAUAUCUAUUUAGUCUACCUAAAAAACAGAUUAUUACCUUUGCUGCAGCUAACAUAAAGGAGAUUAGUUCUUGUGCUGACUGAUGCAGGAUUCACAAAGACAGGCUUCGGCCGACUUUGUAAACUCGAUCUCAAAUCAAGUAAGACUACCCGCUGAACUUAAGCAUAUCAAUAAGCGGAGGA
rnacentral:misc_RNA from 1 species